rnacentral:rRNA from 1 species
GACGAACGCUGGCGGCGUGCUUAACACAUGCAAGUCGAACGGAAAGGCCCUGCUUUUGUGGGGUGCUCGAGUGGCGAACGGGUGAGUAACACGUGAGUAACCUGCCCUUGACUUUGGGAUAACUUCAGGAAACUGGGGCUAAUACCGGAUAGGAGCUCCUGCUGCAUGGUGGGGGUUGGAAAGUUUCGGCGGUUGGGGAUGGACUCGCGGCUUAUCGGCUUGUUGGUGGGGUAGUGGCUUACCAAGGCUUUGACGGGUAGCCGGCCUGAGAGGGUGACCGGCCACAUUGGGACUGCGAUACGGCCCAGACUCCUACGGGAGGCAGCAGUGGGGAAUCUUGCACAAUGGGCGGAAGCCUGAUGCAGCAACGCCGCGUGCGGGAUGACGGCCUUCGGGUUGUAAACCGCUUUCGCCUGUGACGAAGCGUGAGUGACGGUAAUGGGUAAAGAAGCACCGGCUAACUACGUG